CCCUUAGAUGUUCUGGGCUGCACGCGCGCUACACUGAUGCGCUCAACGAGUUUUAACCUUGCCUGGAAAGGUUGGGUAAUCUUUUUAAAACGCAUCGUGAUGGGGAUAGAUUAUUGCAAUUAUUAAUCUUCAACGAGGAAUUCCUAGUAAGCGCGAGUCAUCAGCUCGUGCUGAUUACGUCCCUGCCCUUUGUACACACCGCCCGUCGCUCCUACCGGUUGAGUGAUCCGGUGAAUAAUUCGGACUGCGGCAUUGACCGGUUCCCGAUCGUUGCUGCGGAAAGUUUAGUGAACCUUAUCACUUAGAGGAAGGAGAAGUCGUAACA
rnacentral:rRNA from 1 species